rnacentral:rRNA from 1 species
GAAUUUUCCGCAAUGGGCGAAAGCCUGACGGAGCAACGCCGCGUGCCAGAUGACGGCCUUCGGGUUGUAAAUGGCUUUUGUCGGGGACGAAACGGACGGUACCCGACGAAUAAGCCCCGGCUAACUCCGUGCCAGCAGCCGCGGUAAUACGGAGGGGGCAAGCGUUGUCCGGAUUUACUGGGCGUAAAGCGCGCGUAGGCGGUUGAGUGCGUCGGCGCUGAAAUCUCCCGGCUUAACCGGGAGAGGUGUGCCGAUACGACUCGACUAGAGGCAGUGAGAGGUUGGCGGAAUUCCGGGUGUAGUGGUGAAAUGCGUAGAUAUCCGGAGGAACAUCGGUGGCGAAAGCGGCCAACUGGUACUGACCUGACGCUGAGGUGCGAAAGCGUGGGGAGCGAACUGGAUUAGAUACCCAGGUAGUCCACGCGGUAAACGAUGUCGGCUCGGUGUGUGGGGGUGAUGCAACCACCUCUGCGUGCCUAAGUUCACACGGUAAGCCGACCGCCUGGGGAUUACGAGCGCAAGCUUAAAACUCAAAGGAAUUGACGGGGGCCCGCACAAGCAGCGGAGCGUGUGGUUUAAUUCGACGCAACACGAAGAACUUACCCAGGUUUGACAUGGCGCUGCAAGCCCACGGAGACGUGGGACCUACGAGGGUGCGUCACAAGUGCUGCAUGGCUGUCGUCAGCUCGUGUC